UCUCCUGUAGCAUAGUGGUUAGAGCAUCCACCUUGGAUGCAGGAGGUCGUAGGUUUGAACCCUAGCCAAGUCAU